rnacentral:piRNA from 1 species
UGGGUUCUAGAAAGAACCAGAGGGAGC